rnacentral:rRNA from 1 species
ACGCACGCUGGCGGCGUGCUUAACACAUGCAAGUCGAACGGAAAGGCCCUGCUUUUGUGGGGUGCUCGAGUGGCGAACGGGUGAGUAACACGUGAGUAACCUGCCCUUGACUUUGGGAUAACUUCAGGAAACUGGGGCUAAUACCGGAUAGGAGCUCCUGCUGCAUGGUGGGGGUUGGAAAGUUUCGGCGGUUGGGGAUGGACUCGCGGCUUAUCAGCUUGUUGGUGGGGUAGUGGCUUACCAAGGCUUUGACGGGUAGCCGGCCUGAGAGGGUGACCGGCCACAUUGGGACUGAGAUACGGCCCAGACUCCUACGGGAGGCAGCAGUGGGGAAUAUUGCACAAUGGGCGGAAGCCUGAUGCAGCAACGCCGCGUGCGGGAUGACGGCCUUCGGGUUGUAAACCGCUUUCGCCUGUGACGAAGCGUGAGUGACGGUAAUGGGUAAAGAAGCAUCGGCUAACUACGUG